UACGUAGGGGGCAAGCGUUGUCCGGAUUUACUGGGCGUAAAGAGCGUGUAGGCGGCCAAGCAGGUCCGUUGUGAAAACUGGAGGCUUAACCUCCAGACGUCGACGGAAACCGCGCGGCUAGAGUCCGGAAGAGGAGAGUGGAAUUCCUGGUGUAGCGGUGAAAUGCGCAGAUAUCAGGAAGAACACCAAUGGCGAAGGCAGCUCUCG
rnacentral:rRNA from 1 species